rnacentral:rRNA from 1 species
UACGUAGGGGGCGAGCGUUAUUCGGAAUUAUUGGGCGUAAAGGGCGCGUAGGCGGUCUGACAAGUGGAAGGUGAAAUCCCCGGGCUCAACCUGGGAACUGCCUUCCAAACUGUUGGACUUGAGUCCGGGAGAGGUGAGAGGAAUUCCCAGUGUAGCGGUGAAAUGCGUAGAUAUUGGGAGGAACACCAGUGGCGAAGGCGGCUCACUGGACCGGAACUGACGCUGAGGCGCGAAAGCGUGGGGAGCAAACAGG